AGUCGAACGGUACAGGGUGCUUGCACCGCUGACGAGUGGCGAACGGGUGAGUAAUGCAUCGGAAUGUACCGUGUAAUGGGGGAUAGCUCGGCGAAAGCCGGAUUAAUACCGCAUACGCCCUGAGGGGGAAAGUGGGGGACCGUAAGGCCUCACGUUAUACGAGCAGCCGAUGUCUGAUUAGCUAGUUGGUGAGGUAAAGGCUCACCAAGGCGUCGAUCAGUAGCGGGUCUGAGAGGAUGAUCCGCCACACUGGGACUGAGACACGGCCCAGACUCCUACGGGAGGCAGCAGUGGGGAAUUUUGGACAAUGGGCGCAAGCCUGAUCCAGCCAUGCCGCGUGUCUGAAGAAGGCCUUCGGGUUGUAAAGGACUUUUGUCCGGGAGCAAAUCCUAGUGGUUAAUAACCGCUGGGUCUGAGAGUACCGGAAGAAUAAGCACCGGCUAACUACGUGCCAGCAGCCGCGGUAAUAC
rnacentral:rRNA from 1 species